GAGUCUUUCCAAUAUUCAAUUGAAAGUGAAUGAGGCCGAAUGGGAAGACAAAGAGAUCUCCUGGUUUUAGGAUUUUGGUAAAGAGACGAUGAUCAGGAUUUGAGGUUACAAAGCCAGCAUAAAGAGUGCCUUCCAAAACCAGCAGAACCUCCGAUCCUCUGGGGUGAUAAUGUGGAGGGUUUAGGCCACCGUUUGGCGCCAAGUCUAUCCGUGCUAAAGAUACGCCAAGAGUGUUAAGCCCAGGCAUUAGAUCGGCUGUAAUGAUAUUAACACGUGCUCCAAGUUGAUUUGAUGUGUUUCCAGGAACAUCAAGCCCCGAGUACGAGAAAUCAUCAGGAGUGGCGAGGCUUGGAUUCUUACACAAUUUUCCAUUAACAAGAACUGCAGACACAAGCAAAAUGUAAUCAGUUGGAAUGCGAAUUCAAAAUGAAAUACAUAUAAUAGUUCGUGAUUCCGAAAUAUCACAAUCUUGAAUGUACCAGCAGAAUUAGCAUCAUCUAUUGCUACGCAGAAGUCUUGGAGGGGGCUGGGGUCAUAGGCAGUGACAAAUGAGGAAGCCAGAGCCAAGAGAAUAAAAACCGCUAUCAAAUUAGCAACUUUCAUCAUGGUUCUGCUUUGGCUUGCUACCUUGAAUUCUUUCCUUUUCUUUUUUCCUUCUUGGGUAUUGUUUGUUGGGUAAGGCGGGAGAGCUUGCAUGCAGAGCAUGGGUAUUUAUCAAGCGAACAUUGGACUUUGACGAUUGUAUAUAUGAUGAAACUCUAACGUGCCUUCACUAGUUAAAUCUAUAUUUUUGGAGCAAUAUAAUUAAUUAAUUAAAUAACCAAGCAGAGACUAACAACAGUGACGAUGACUAAAUGGAGGCAAGAUACUUUACGCCUCUUAAUUGGCCAAAAAAAUGCUGUUUAAUCACGAGGAUUAAGAAGCAAUGUGAUCUUAAUUAGUUACUCAAUCAUCAAGAACUUCUAGAUUUUUCAAUUCUUCAACUCCUGAAGAGAACCUCUUCAUUCUUUUUUGGAGGUUAAUGGACUUCAAUUGUUUUUUCUUUUUCAUUUUUUCCGACUCAAUAUCAAAUUAACUUUUACCACUGCAAGCAUAAAUAUCUGUGUUUAUUUAUUUAUUUUCCAUGAAGGCAUGCAUCGGGAUUGAGAACUGAAAAAUGUACUAAAGUUUUCUUUCAAUUUAUUAAGUGAUUUCGUUUAACUUGAUCACUGCAGUAACCUAAGAAUAUAUUCUUCUAGCUGAAAUCUUAUUUGAUAUAAUAUUUUGCUAAUUAUGAAAGGAGAUCCAUCAAGGACUAUAUCAAACAUAAAAGAAAAAUUAAAACUACAUAAUAAGCAACAUUCGAUAUAGCCAUUUAUGAAUUACAUCAUGGAGUUGAAGAAUGAAGAGUACAAGAUGAAGACGCGCACGAUGGAAUUGAAAACUCUAGAAGUUCUUAUAGUUAGGCAAUUAUGAUAUUUAUACGUUUCUUCUCUAUCCACCUCUGGCCAAUAGAGAGACAUUAAAGUACUUGUUGAACUCUUUUUUGCCUCAACUUAGUCAUCAUCAGGCUCCCGGGUUCUCACCAUUGCUUAUAAUGAGUGUGUGCUCUGUUUGGGCCAAAAUGUAAAUUUAACUAGUGAAGGUCUAUUAGGGUUUCUGCAUGCAAUUGUCAAAUGCCAGUGUUUGACUGGUCAAAGAUCAAUGAUAAGUUGUUGAGAAACAAAACUUAAACGACGUAUAACUCAUCUAUAAAUACCCAUGCUAAUACCCAUGCUCUGCAUGCAAGUUCUCACUCCACUAAUUAAGCUAAUGGCUUCUAAUACCUUGAUAAGUGGAGUAAAAUGAAAAGCUUCGUGGAAGGAGUUUUAUGUUCAAAAGCCUGUUAAAAGUAAAGCAAGCCAGAACCAUGUACAAAUGGAAGAGGCAAGUGUGUUGUGCCAUGGACCUCCCUGUUUCCCUAAGAAAAAUUAUGUAGAAAGGUCUUUUAAGUGGGAUCGCUUUUCUAAAAGGGACAACAACCUUAGAAAAAAACCAGAAAAGAUCGAUUAGGAAACACAUGAGCUGCCAUAAAAUACACACUAUUCCAGUGAAUGCCACCCUCAUAUAAGUCUUCACGACCAUCAAAGGUAAGGAAUUUGUUCAAUACCUUCCACCUAUAAAAUCAUCACCUAGUACUUGUUUAGACAGACAACUGGUAAAUGUUUGUGGACUUUCCAGAUUUAAACAAAGCUUUCCCAGAAGAUAACCAUCCUCUCUCUAAGAUUGACUGAUUGGUUAACUCCACUGCGAGUUUUGAAUACCUCAGCUUCUUGGAUGCCAACUCUAGCUAUCACCAAAUUACCAUGCUCCAUAAUUGAAGGGGAAACAUUUUGUUAUAAAGUUAUGCCUUUUAGGCUUAAGAAUGCAAGGGCCACUUAUUAGUGGAUGGUAAAAAAAAUGUAUUUAAGAACCAACUUGGGAGGAUUAUAAAAGGAUAUGUUGAUGACAUGUUAGUGAAAGCAAGACUUUUGAGAAACAUUAACUAGACCAAAAAGAAGUCAUUUCCUCUGCUUGACCAUAAUAAGAUGAAACUUAAUCAUUCCAAAUAAGUCUUUGCCAUCAAAUGAGGAAAAUUUUUGGGUUUUCUAGUAAGUAACAAGGGAAUCGAGCCUAACCUAGAGAAGAAUAAUGAUAUUGCGAUAUUUUGAGCAGUGUGCGCUCUGUUCCAAUGAUGUGUUAUUGCACUUGGAGCCAUGCCUGCUAGACCAAGUUAACCUCAAUGUCAUUGUUCUUUUGUGCUUCUCUACAGUGGGAAGAAAGGAUUAGAGCAUAUGAUAGGCUUAGAUAACCAUCUUUGGUUUACCAAUGGAAGGAUGAAACAAAAACUGCUUCGAUAUUCUUUCAGAGAGCUUUGGCAAUAUUGUUGGCUAUGACACAACAUGUGUUAGCCAGGGAUCUAUAUCUAGUAUAAGGGUCUUUAUUAGCACUAUAAAGUUGGAACAUUUGCAUAACCAACUUAUCCUUAAGCUUGAUGAAAUACAAAUUAAGGUCACGUUGAAAGAGAUAAAGGGUGAGUUCAUUCCUUCCAUCACAAUAGUCAAACACUUUAUGGAUGUCUCGUUGUAUUUAGAAUUGACCUUUGAUGAAGAAGAAGAGGAAGGUGAUCAGAAAACUGAUUUUGCAACAUUAACCACCAGGGCUACAAGACAAAAAGUUGAGUUUGAAUUCGAUUUUAAUUGUGCUUUGGGCAGCUAAAAUCAGCUUGACAUUAAAUGCUUCAGGCCAGCCAUACCAUUUUUGUACUUUUUUCUAGAAAUUACAGAAUUAUACAGGCAUUUAGCUUUAUCUGAUAAGCAUAUGUACAACACUGGUAACCACUUGGCUCUUAUGCUAUAUGAUUAUGAUGAGGUGGCUAUAACUGCUUGUAUAGACGUGGACGUGUCACAAGCCGCUUCCUUUAUUGAGGGAGAUGAGCUGGGAAAAAAAAGCUCUAAUAGUGAAGAGUUAAAGAAGAUGGGCUGAAAGAAGACUUCUAGUAUAGGCCGAUUAACAAGUUUUAACUUAAACAUUGCGCCAUCAUUUGUAAAUUUCAUUACCCCCAUUAUUGAUCUGAGUAAGUUGUAUGAUUUGGAAUUGAAAAACAGGAAAACUCAAAGAAAGAAAGUUAAGAUAUUUACACGCAAAGCAUCCUCUCUUAAGAAAAGGAAACCACAUAAAGUAAAAAGGUUAAGGCUCUAAGCAAGCUGAGAUAGGGGUUAUUGAUAAUUUAGUUUCUGAUAAUGUAAUUAUGAAUAGAAAUGUUAUUAUUCGAUCUAGAAAGGAACUAGCUAGUGAAGACGAGGCAAGCAGUUCACACAUUAGAUUUUUUCCAAGGAUUGAUGAUCAAGCAUGUGAGCCAUUACAUACUGACCCCAUAGAUGAAGCAAUUACUUGCUGGGAUAUGGGAAAAGCUAUCUUGCAAAUUCAUGAUGGAACCCAACUUAUGACAUAGACACUGCAUGGAUUUAUUGAAAAUGAUAUGGAGUAGUGGAUUAGUAGGAAGAAGCGGUGACUUACUUCUCUUGGUUCUUUUAAGGUGUGGUUUUUAAUCCUUUCUAUGGGUCGUAUGAUUAUUUGGAAUGCGUGUGGUUUAGGGGGCAGAAAUAAAAACAAAUGUGUGAGAAAUCUUGUUAGAAAGCUUAGUCUGGAUGUCUUGGGUGUGUUGGAAAUGAAAGUGGACAAUAUUAAUAACUGUAUCAUUAAUUCGACUUGGGGUAGAUAUUCUAGAGACUAGUAUGCAAUGCCUUCCUUAGGUCUUUCUAGGGGUAUUUUAUGCAUAUGAAAUCCAGCCUUUUUUUGUGCUUCUAGUUGUUCAGUUGCUAUAAAUGGGCAUAUUUUACAUUUUGAGGCUGUGUUUUCUUGUUCAAAUUUGGAUUGCUUAGUGUCUUUUGUUUAUACUCCAAAUGAUGGGUUGUUGAAGGAGUUAUGGGACUAUCUUGUCAAUUUUAAAGACAUUGUUGGCAAACCAUAGUGUCUUACAAAUGACUUCAAUGAAACUAUAUUCCCCUUGGAUAGAAAAGGUGGCUUUCGAAUCUCAUCUUCCAUGACAAACUUUAAGAAUUGCAUUGACUAUUGCGAGCUUGUUGAACUGCCAUUAAACAGGAAGAAGUUUACUUGGUCUAGAGGUAAUGCAACAAACCAUAUUGAUAGAAUAUUUAUGUUGACUGAUUGGCUUAAGCUUUUCCCAUCUUUUACUCUGUAUGGGCUUCCAAAGUAUUCUUUAGAUCACAGACCGAUUCAUCUGUUAUUAGACUCUACGAACUGGGUCCAAAGCCUUUCCGGUUCAUGAAUUAUUGGUGGCUCUUAUUUGAUUUCAGGAAGGUGCUACAGGUCUUCUAGAAUGCAGCUUUGAUUACUAACUUUGGUAAAAAUAAUGUGGCUUCGACAUUGAGGUUAUUGAAAGAGAGUUGCAUGCAGUGAGGUAAAAAUGUGGUGGGUAACACUAAUAGUGAAAUCAAAGCUCUAGAACUUGAAGUGGAUUCCCUAUAUUCCAAAAAAAAAUAAAAAUGCAGAGACUUAUGAGUGGAUGAAUUAAAUAGAAACAAUACCAUUGCCUUUAGUCUUAGAAAUUUAUACAGAGUGUAAGAGUCUGCCUGCCAUCAGAAAUCAAGAGUUCAGUGGUGUAAGUUUGGAGACAGAAAUACUUAUUUUUUUCAUCUCUCUACCACGACAAGACAAAAAAAGAAUCAGAUUUUCUCCUUAGAUGUUGAUGGAACGACUCUGACAAAACCUUCUGAUGUGAAGAAAGUCAUGUUCAAUUUAUUUAGUAAGCUCUAUUCUCAUGAUGGUAGACCUAAAGCCUCUUGUUGUAAUUUAGAUUUUCUAAAGCUUUAGUCUUCCUCCUUGGCUGCUCUAGAAAUUCCAUUCUCUAGAGAUGAGAUUAAAGUUGGUGGGGGUCAACGUGGUGCUGCCUAAAUAGCUUCUCGACCCUUUUUUCUCAGUAGGAUUCUUUAGUCAAUGACAAGUUCCAAAAAAAAGGGCAUUUGGCUUCUCAAUAAUGAUGUGAUCUUCAAGUAGAAAACCCCGGACUAUGACACGCUAUUCUUCCUUAUUAUUACUAGACUCUGCUUAUGGCUGAAGGCUAUAGAUUCUUAUUUUCCGGCAUCAAAUAUAUUAAAAUCAGCAAAAGGGCUACUUAUAUAGACUAAUCUCCAAAAACCUAGUUUGGUUGUCAUGUGGUCUCUCCCUAAAGCUAAUAGCUUCAAAUGGAAUGUGGAUGGAUCUUCACUGGGAAAGCCUGGUUCCUUAGGUAUGGGUGGUGUUUUAUGAAAUCAUUAUGGAAUUCUUCUUGGUAUCUUGUUGUUGUCGGUUUGAAUUUUAAAAUCCAAUGAAGUCGAGCCACGAGUUGUUGUCAAAGCUAUUGAGAUCUUGUCAAAGCUAUUGAGAUCUCAGCCUCUAUUAUUAUUGAAUCUAACUCUGAUAAUGUCAUUAAUUGGAUGAAUAAUCCAGAAAAUAAACCUUUGCUACAUUAUAAGCUUUUCUCUUUAGCCAAGAGAUUGGCUCUAUGCUUUGACUCAAUCACUUUCACCUAUUUUCGUCAUGAGUCUAAUUAUAUGGCAGAUCACCUGGCAAAACAAGGAGUGCACAGAACAAGAGAAUUUGUUGCUUGGAUUUGAGUCGGCCAAAUGUUUUUGGCCCUUCUUUUGUCUAUAUCUGUUUGCGGUUCCUAGUGGUGAUGAGUUGUUUUUUCCAGGUUUUGAAAGUUUUGAAUUCUAGAGAGGCAAUGGCUGGUUGUAGCAGGUGGUAAGGAGUGGUCUGGUUCUUCACCAUACCAUUCAUUCUCUUCCAUUUUAUUCUUGGCAUAUCAGAGUUGGUCUAGGAGGAGCUGGUGUUUCAUGAUGUUAGUAGCUUGGUCUGAAGAUCUCUUUUAAUAUGGAAAAGUCGAGGAUAGAUGGAAAGAUUUAGUAAUAAUUUAAAUCAGAAUCGAGAUAGUUUUUUGGUUUUAUGGGAGUUUCCCUUGGAUUUUUAGCUUGGUAGUUUAGCUUGGCAGUUUUGUUUGCGUGGAGGCAAAGCUGCAUCCUGUGGUUGUUGCUCUGUUUUGUGGUUUUCUUGGUCUUUUUCCUUUUUCGUUUGUUUAAUUUGCUAAACUUGAGUGUUGUGCAGAUUUUUAUCUUGUCCUUCCCGCCAUCUUUAAUUUGGCGUUUUAAUGCAAUACUUUAGUUAUUAAAAAAAAAAUCAUGAUUUCUGUAGCACGUCUUUGCCUUGCACACUCAUCUUGUAGGAGGCCAACGAUGAAAACGGUGAACUUUCUUAUUUCUCUCCAUAUAAAUAUAUUUGCACAAGUCGUCCAUGAAAAUGUCAUCAUGGAAUAGCAGAUAUUGAGGUUAUUUCAGUAGCCGGAGUACAAACUCCUUAACAGUAUCGAGUCCAAUGAAGAAAAAUCCCCGUGGAGAAUGGACGACUCAUCCUCGACAGCCAAUGUUAGUCUGCCUUCGGAUGAUACAUACCAUGAAAUAUUACUAGCUAAAGCACCAAAUUAGCGAGCAUCCAAUAUCUCAGCCACCAUGAAAUCAUUUCCAAUAUUGGUCUAGAUUUUGACUCUUGAUUACUUUGGGAAAAAACUUUUGAUACCUUUUCUUUUUUUGGUAAGUCAAGGUACGUACGUAGAUUAAAAAACUUUUGAUACAAUCAAACAGGACAUAAACUUGGUACAUGAUGAAAAGAAGUUGGCAGCUUGCCAUCUUAAGUUAUUCAAAAUACAGAACGGACGUGGAUAAUCCAAAAGGGAAACCUCAACUGAAGAGCAUAAACCCUCCAGCAACAUGACACCUGACAGAGAAAUUAUUAGCUUAACAAAACAGGUGGAGAACGUUCCAAAAAAACACAUAGACUCUAAAAGGGGAAGGCAUAGAGCACUUCUUUAUUAUCGCACAUCAACUAUGCGAAUAUGGGAAAUUUAGAAAGUAUUCAUGUAGGGUUCACCCAUUCUUGACUCUGGAGAUCCUCCACAAGUUUUUCAUCCAAAUGGAAUGCUGUGGUGAGAACUUCAGGAUAAAGAGGCCAACUGGCUCCAAAGAUUGCAUUUGCUACUGUGUUUACUCCUGGAUUUUGGCUUGUUAAUGCAGCAAUAGCAACGGCAGGAGUCUUUCCAAUAUUCAAUUGAAAAUGAAUGAGGCCGAAUGGGAAUACAAAGAGAUCUCCUGGUUUUAGGAUUUUGGUAAAGAGACGAUGAUCAGGAUUUGAGGUUACAAAGCCAGCAUAAAGAGUGCCUUCCAAAACCAGCAGAACCUCCGAUCCUCUGGGGUGAUAAUGUGGAGGGUUUAGGCCACCGUUUGGCGCCAAGUCUAUCCGUGCUAAAG
rnacentral:lncRNA from 1 species